rnacentral:rRNA from 1 species
CCUACGGGAGGCAGCAGUGGGGAAUUUUGGACAAUGGACGCAAGCCUGAUCCAGCUAUUCCGCGUGAGGGAUGACGGCCCUCUGGUUGUAAACCUCUUUAUUUGUGAACGAAAAGUAUCUCUCGAGUAAGUAGCUCUGCUUACGGUACUAUAAGAAUAAGCACAGGCUCACUACGUGCCAGCAGCCGCGGGAAUACGUCGGGGGCGAGCGUUAAUCGGAAUUACUGGGCGUAAGGGGUGUGCAGGCGGAUGAGUAAGACAGAUGUGAAAUCCCCGGGCUUAACCUGGGAACUACAUAUGUGACUGCUUGGCUAGAGUGCGUCAGAGGGAGGUGGAAUUCAAGGUGUAGCAGUGAAAUGCGUAGAUAUGUGGAAGAACACCGAUGGCGAAGGUAGCCUCCUGGGACGCAACUGACGCUCAUACACGAAAGCGUGGGGAGCAAACAGGAUUAGAUACCCGGGUAGUC